GAACUGGAAAUCUUAUUCAGUCUCGUCCGGCAGGCAUCUUGUUCAGGCAAAUACCAGAGGAGACACACGUACUUCCAAAAUCCGUCUUCCUAGUAGCGCCAGCUGAAAUUACUGUCUACCCUGAACUGAACUGAAACUGAAACUGAAACCCAAAUCCGUCCCGAAAGAUUCUUGUCGCCAAUGCCUUCUCCCCCUUGUUCAAAAAAAAAAAUGCCUUCUCCCCGGCUUCCGCUUCUCCCACUGCAGGUACCUGCUCAGCCUCCUCCGUCCCGCCCUCAGCCGGGAGCUAGAGCUGGAGAGGCACGGGCUGAAGCUCCUGCCACUGAGUCCCUCGUCGUUCACGCCGUGCAUCGACGGCAGGUACCUGCUUCUUGGCCCGGAGACGGAGCAGAACCACUCGAAGAUCGGCAAGUUCUCCAAUGAUUUCUUUUGAAGGAUCUUUGUCUGCCAAUACUCUUCUAGAGGAGUUUCUCCAGCAUUGAGGAAAUCGAUGUAGCUUACAAGGAAGCUACAGGCGCUGUGUCAUCCACAAGGGUUUUAAUAGAAAUGACGAUUCCUUCAGUCUUAGAUAAGAUUAUCUCUCCUCCAGGUCAGCAUCUUAUAAAUCUUUUUGUUCAGUACACACCCUACAAACUUUCAGAAGGCAGUUGGCAGGAUUCUACUGUUAAGAAAUAGAUGAUGAUACCCUUAGCCCUUGGGCAUUGUGAUCAGUCACUAUCUACGAAGGAAGUUAUUUGUCUGAAUUUGGGGCCACCUACCAAUCAUUGACCAUUCUGAUUGACACCAAUUUUAAGAAAUCAUUUGCUGAAAGGUGCUUCUCAUUAAUCGAUGAGAAUGCACCGGGCUUUAGCUCAUUCGUGAUAUGUUGACCACACCUGAUCUUGAAAGGGAGUUUGGCUUAACAGGUAAUCACUCUCUCCGUACUGUGUGUACAUUGUCUUUUGUAAGUCGCGCAGACCAGAUACUAUCCUGUAUUCUUCCUUUCUAUCAGUUUGAAAACUUAGCUAAGCAGAGACUAUAUUCAUAUUUCCGAGGAGGCAACAUCUUUAACGGCGCAAUGGGCUUGGACUCUCUCUUCAUAGUGAGGCCUGCCAAGGGAUGGUCAGAUUAUAGAACCCCUUGAAGGGAUUGUACCGCUGUGGCAGCGGUGCACACCCAGGCGGUGGAGUGAUGGGUGCUCCAUGCCGGAAGCUAUCUCCGUGGUUUUGAACGAUCUCAAGACACCAUAGAUGUAGUUUAUGGAAAAUAGAAAUGGCAGGUGGCACUAGAGUUAGUGUUUCAAGCACAAGUCUGCAAAAGUAGCAUGAGAAUAUGCGAUGUUAUUAAACCAUCUGGAAAUGACAUUUAUUCUUGUUAAACAAUUUGGUACAGACACUUCGAUCAUGCAUACUUACAUUAUAAAAAUGAUUAAAAUUUCAUGAGAUAAUUGCCAUAUAU